UGUAUCUGUGGCCAAUAACCUUGAGCCUACUUGGAUGGGUACUUAGAUUUUGCGUUCCCCAAUCACGGCGCAACUGGAGAACAUUACCAACCCCUUCGCUCUGCAUUUUCCGCUGGCUGCCCCACCGCCACAAAAAGCACUGCACUAGGCUGAAACACCGGCAUUUUGGAGCUGCCUUACUCAAGAAAGCAAAAAAGAGACCAAGUUUGUAUGUGGCUAUAUUAAGUCAAUUAUUUUAUUCACAUUUAAAAAAAAAAAUGAUAUGUGACAGGUAUUAAUGUCAGAAUAACAUGCAAACAUGUUGGGCCUCCCUCAAAACAGGUGGAGCUCCGCCCCACCUGCCUUGAUUGACAGGUCACAGCUGGAUGUGACCAGGUACCAGGAUGUCCGGUCUGUCCCGAUCGUCCUCUCAUCUUCACUGGAGGAUGACUCCAUGUCCUCAUCUGAACUGAGGUGUUGAAUAAAAGGGACCCUCAGUCAGAAACUUUACAGGUCAGAAGCGACACUCUCGGUCAGAAGCGUUAUUCUUAGUAUAGAGCUCUUUAUAAACCGGGUAGUUUGCAUACUGGAUGCUGAUUGGCUAAAAACAGCAUUUAGCCCUGUGUGCGACUGUAUACGGUCACCAUGAUAUCAUUGCGCCUUUUCACCUCGAUAAAAUGGCUACAGCAACAAUAGUUCCACAUGCCGAUGUAGAAAAUAAACGUUAAAAUGAAUUUGAGAGAAACCGAAACGAAUUGUGAAACAAACAAAGUGGGCACUUACCCGCUUCACUGACUGGUGCGCCGAACAAGGGAUACAUUGAGUUUGUGAAUACAACCAAAAUGGAGCUGAAAGUCAUUCUACGGGACUUGUAUGGUUAAGUGAGAAACAUGAAUGGCGAAAAAGAUGGGAUUAGCAGCUAAACUGCCGCUGGACUUGAACCGACAUAUCAAUGACCCCCUCUCAGUCUGGCAUGGAAUAUACAGGACACCGAAAUCACAACGCGCAACAAUGUGUCGUCUCUCAGCGUAAUUAAAAAGUUGAGGGAUGCGACAAAGCAGUGAAUGGAUACGUAUGGUACACAUGUCAAGAGUCAAUAGGAGUGAACACCCUCGCAACAAUGCUGCCAAAAUCCUGAAAAGUAGCUGGCUCGUCACAGAUGUACACAAACUACUACCUCGUCAUCCAUUUAUAGUAGCGUGGAGCCAACAAACAUGGAACAAUUUUUUCAUUUGUGCACAAUAAAUGACAACAUUCAGAUCAAUGUUAAUAAAUCCUCGGCAUACACAUCACAGACAAACUGAAUUGGUCCACUCACACAGCAUCGUGAAGAAGGCGCAGCAGCGCCUCUUCAACCUCAGGAGGCUGAAGAAAUUCGGCUUGUCACCAAAAGCACUCACAAACUUCUACAGAUGCACAAUCGAGAGCAUCCUGGCGGGCUGUAUCACCGCCUGGUACGGCAACUGCUCCGCCCUCAACCGUAAGGCUCUCCAGAGGGUAGUGAGGUCUGCACAACGCAUCACCGGGGGCAAACUACCUGCCCUCCAGGACACCUACACCACCCGAUGUUACAGGAAGGCCAUAAAGAUCAUCAAGGACAUCAACCACCCGAGCCACUGCCUGUUCACCCCGCUAUCAUCCAGAAGGCGAGGUCAGUACAGGUGCAUCAAAGCUGGGACCGAGAGACUGAAAAACAGCUUCUAUCUCAAGGCCAUCAGACUGUUAAACAGCCACCACUAACAUUGAGUGGCUGCUGCCAACACACUGACACUGACUCAACUCCAGCCACUUUAAUAAUGGGAAUUGAUGGGAAAUUAUGUAAAUAUAUCACUAGCCACUUUAAACAAUGCUACCUUAUAUAAUGUUACUUACCCUACAUUAUUCAUCUCAUAUGCAUACGUAUAUACUGUACUCUAUAUCAUCGACUGCAUCCUUAUGUAAUACAUGUAUCACUAGCCACUUUAACUAUGCCACUUUGUUUACAUACUCAUCUCAUAUGUAUAUACUGUACUCGAUACCAUCUACUGUAUCUUGCCUAUGCUGCUCUGUACCAUCACUCAUUCAUAUAUCCUUAUGUACAUAUUCUUUAUCCCCUUACAUUGUGUAUAAGACAGUAGUUUUGGAAUUGUUAGUUAGAUUACUUGUUGGUUAUUACUGCAUUGUCGGAACUAGAAGCACAAGCAUUUCGCUACACUCGCAUUAACAUCUGCUAACCAUGUGUAUGUGACAAAUAAAAUUUGAUUUGAAAUAA